GCACAAGCGGUGGAGUAUGUGGUUUAAUCGACGCAACGCGCAGAACCUUACCUGGUCUUGACAUCCCGGGAAUUCCUUGAAGAGGAAGUGCCUCGCAAGAGGAGCCUGGAGACAGGUGCUGCAUGGCUGUCGUCAGCUCGUGUCGUGAGAUGUUGGGUUAAGUCCCGCAACGAGCGCAACCCUUGUCUUUAGUUGCCAUCAUUCAGUUGGGCACUCUAAAGAGACUGCCGGUGUCAAACCGGAGGAAGGUGGGGAUGACGUCAAGUCCUCAUGGCCUUUAUGACCAGGGCUACACACGUACUACAAUGGCCGGUACAAAGGGCAGCCACUUAGCGAUAAGGAGCCAAUCCCGUAAAGCCGGUCUCAGUCCGGAUUGGAGUCUGCAACUCGACUCCAUGAAGUUGGAAUCGCUAGUAAUCGCAGGUCAGCAUACUGCGGUGAAUACGUUCCCGGGUCUU
rnacentral:rRNA from 1 species